rnacentral:lncRNA from 1 species
AAACCUCACCAGUACCUGCACAGGAGAAACACCACGGAUCACAGCGCGAUCUGAAUGGCAAGAGCCUUGCCCUCACCCCACACCUUCCCAGCCUGCUUCCCCUGGGACACAGCCGUUGCUCACUUCCUAUCUGGACCCCAGAGGCCUCAGCCUGCAUCCUCACCCAGACAGAGCAGUUCUCAAGGAUCCUCCCUGUGCCCAGAAGUCUCCCUAGCCUGAGUGGUACAUGGGCAUCCCUCGCCUUCCUGAGAUCCCCUAUUGGGCCCUUUGAGCCCCGUUGUCCCCCACACCCCCCAUCCCGCCCCCCAGCCAUGCCCCACGCCUUGCCUGGUGGGUGCGGGGGUCCCCCUCAGCAGGUGGGCUGUGGCUGGGGGGCGUCUCCCGGGACAGGGGGGGCGGCCCCCCCCAGAUGGGUCUGCAUGUGGCCGGCCAGCUGGGCAGGGGUCUUGCAGUGCACGCUGCACAGCUUGCACAGGAUGCGGUCAGCCCGCGGGGCCUGGAGCCCGUGGUCCUUCACCGCGUGGAUGCGCAGAACUCAUUCUCCAUGGCCGGGAGACCUCUCCCAGGAUGACGAGACACUGACUCCUAGCCACUUGCAGGGUUGACCCUCAGCAGAGACGGCUGUGUCCCCUUCCCUCCAGUGCCCCGCGGUCUCAACCCAGUUAACCGGAAUCUAGACGCCACGAGCUCUUGGCUACAGCACCCUUAACCCGUAUCCGUGGCAAGGCGUCUGGCCAGGCGCCCACCCUCUGCCCCUGGCCCUCCCGGCAGCCCUCGGCAUGUACCUUUGUUGCAGAGCUCACAGACAUGGUGAGGACCCUGGCUGUGCACCUUCAUGUGGUCCGAAAUAUAAGCCGAGCUCAGCAUCUUGCCACA